CCUACGGGUGGCAGCAGUGAGGAAUAUUGGUCAAUGGGCGUAAGCCUGAACCAGCCAAGUCGCGUGAGGGAUGAAGGUUCUAUGGAUCGUAAACCUCUUUUAUAAAGGAAUAAAGUGAGGCACGUGUGCCUUUUUGUAUGUACUUUAUGAAUAAGGAUCGGCUAACUCCGUGCCAGCAGCCGCGGUAAUACGGAGGAUCCGAGCGUUAUCCGGAUUUAUUGGGUUUAAAGGGAGCGUAGAUGGGUUGUUAAGUCAGUUGGGAAAGUUUGCGGCGCAACCGUAAAAUUGCAAUUGAUACUGACAGUCUUGAGUACAGUUGAGGUAGGCGGAAUUCGUGGUGUAGCGGUGAAAUGCUUAGAUAUCACGAAGAACUCCGAUUGCGAAGGCAGCUUACUAAACUGCCACUGACAUUGAUGCUCGAAAGUGUGGGUAUCAAACAGGAUUAGAUACCCUUGUAGUC
rnacentral:rRNA from 1 species